rnacentral:tRNA from 1 species
GGCGUGGUAGUACAGUGGUUUAGUACGUUCCUCCCCCAAAGCAUGGCCGUACUUUCUUGGUAACCGUUCAAAUGUUCCAACGUUCAAACAGUUCAAAGUUGUACAUAUGUAUAUUACCGUAUAUAUUGGUCUCGCGGGUCUUGGGAAGACAUAGGUUCGAAUCCUAUCUACGCUA